AUUAUUGCCUUACUAGAGUAGGCUGUUGAUUGUCUCCUAUAUUUAAUAUUGGCUAUUUGCAUCAUCCUGCAAUCCAUUACAUUAUACACAUGCAGCCAUGAUAUCAUCAAUCAAACUUUGAACUUAGAACUGUAUUCAAACAAUGUUAUCGAGCGUAAGAAUAUAUCAUUAUAUGCUAAAGCAAAUCGUAUUUCCUCUUACAAUACUGCAUACCUUGUAUAUAGA